rnacentral:rRNA from 1 species
CCGGAUGCGGAUCUCGAAAGCCUGUCCCAGUUCGGACUGGAGUCUGCAACCCGACUCCACGAAGUUGGAUUCGCUAGUAAUCGCGCAUCAGCCAUGGCGCGGUGAAUACGUUCCCGGGCCUUGUACACACCGCCCGUCAAGCCAUGGGAGCCGGGGGCGCCUGAAGUCCGUGACCGCGAGGGUCGGCCUAGGGUGAAACCGGUGAUUGGGGCUAAGUCGUAACAAGGUAUC